AUGCGACAACUUUUCUGCACGAUACUCAUUUUUUAUGAGGUCACAGAUCCAAGGAAACUAUGGGAAUCUACAUGGGAAUUACUCUCAGAGGACAUACAACGACGUCAAAGGAAAAUCUUGAACUUCAAUGAACUACAUCUUAAUCCUGAACAAAUAAAAAAUCUCACAUUUAUAGAGAUAGAGAUGUUGCUAAGGAGAGGUGGAAAGACACUAAAAGAUUAUGAAGGAAUUUCACUACCAGAUAGCAACUCACUACAAUGUCUACAAAAUAGGUUGGAAAAACAUUUCUGUGGAAGGCAAUCACGACAUCACUAUGAUCUGAAGGAAAAAUAG
rnacentral:rRNA from 1 species